ensembl:lncRNA
CUCUAUUACAUCCCAUGUGAAAAAGUUAUGAGUGCAAGGGCGCAAAUGUGUCCAGGCCAUGCUGAAAUCCUGGCUAACCUCUAAAUGAUAAAGAUCCAUUAAGGCGGCUUUGAGGUCGUGCCUAGGCCUAUACCACUGCCCGUGGUGGGCUAAAUGCUUAUUUUUAAGCACCGCUAUCCAUCCAAAACGUGUGAUGAGGUGGGUAAUCGGCACUUUGACUCAAACCAGCUGUUGCAAAUGUGGCAUUCAGAAUACAGUCAGCGCGUUUACAUGCACAUAUUAUUCUGAAUAAUCGCAAUGACCAGAACAAGGUCAUAGUGAGAUAAUGCUCAUGUUCCAGAAAUACCCAAGGAGGACUUAAAGUCAAAGAUUAUCCAGUAGAAAAAUAUAACCUGUAUUGAAAAUAAUAUAUAAACCGAGACAUUGGAAAGUUAAUUCAGUCGAUUGGGUGAAAGGACAAGUGACCUUGCAUUCAGAUCAAUUCUGUUGUGCUCCACCUAAAAAGUGGAAGUAAUCCUGUUGAUCUUCCAUGGGACCUGUCGCUGGACUUGAUGCACUGUGAUUAGAAAUCUCCUUAACCUUUUCAGUCGAUCAGCUUGGGGAUUUUUUUUUCACUUACAUAAUGUCUUAGACAUGCCUGCUCUAAUUCAACAGGAAGACUUCCUGUGUGAACCAUGGAUUUCAUUCAUCCUAGCGGUCCAGCAGUCAGGCUUUAUCCAGAGAACCAUGGGAUGACACCACCGCCCCCCGCUAAUGAGGCCAAGGACAAGCCGAAAAUGUCCACACUUGGAAGAAAAAGACGUUGGCUCAAAGAUGUGGCCAAGUCAUCGACACUUCGGAGAGACUCGGCUUUAGAAAAAUUCCUGAAACGAUUGUUUUCAGCAAACUCCAAUUUCUUUCUCCAGCAAUUUUAAGAGUGUGUGUGUGUGUGUGUGUGUGUGUGUGUGUGUGUGUGUGUGUGUGUGUGUGUGUGUGUGUGUGUGUGUGUGUGUGUGUGUGUGUGUGUGUGUGUGUGUGUGUGUGUGUGUGUGUGUGUGUGUGUGUGCGUGCGCGCACGUGUGUGAUUGAGAGAGUGUAAAGUGAGUGUCUUGGGCCUGACUCAUUCAGAACUGUGAAUUUAGCCCCCAAUUUGUCCAGGUCUCAGUGAAUGUCCUGAAAAUUAACCUUAAGGCCACUAGGGGGCACCCUAACACCACCCCAGUCAUCCUCGAUGCGAAAGCAUAUUUACCUGUACAUUUAUACAAAAAAAGUGAACUGUUUUAUUGAUCUUGGAGUUGGGAGCAUUGGAGUGUUUAUUAUUGUGUUGGUAUACUGUUUUUGAGGCUAUUGUUAAUUAGUUGUGAAACAAUUUGACAAUAUCGGAAGACAUGUUGUCAAAAGGUUUAUGUGAAAAGCAGCAAAACAACAUUUUCACUAGGUUACAGUAUAUAGGCUAAUCUGAUUUAGAUUUUAACACUUUAACACUCGAGGGCUCUCAAAAUUGCCGAAAUAAAAUAAAAUGCGUUCUGAAUGUACACCUAUAAUACAGCUUAGAGAUUGUUUAUAGAUUACAGCUGCCGUAUUGAAAAGCGUGUGCCUCAUAUUUAUCUGUACAUUGGCUGCCUGCGCUCGUUCUGUUUGUGUACAGAGCUGGGCUUUGAAAUUGUGUAUGAAGUAGGCCUUUCUGCGGUAUCAGUGCUGACCAAUGGUCAUGGAAAGGGAGUUUUUACGUUGGCAAAAUAAAAUCAAACUGAUUUAAUAUGAUUGUUUAGUUUGUCUAAGAUUAAGUAAAUGCAUAAUUAUUAUUAUUAUUAUUAUUAUUAUUAUUAUUAUUAUUAUUAUUAUUAUUAUUAUUAUUAUUAUUAUAAUAUAGCCUAUAUUGCUAACACGAAACAGAGCAUUUAUUUUCUACUGUCUCGUGAACGCGAUGUAAAAGGACAACAUACACAUUCGUCAAGACCGUUAUCUUAGGACUUCAUCUCUACCAAGUAGGCCUAAAUCAAUAUAGAACAAGAGAAACUAAAUAAAAAGUUGCUUUGGUGAAUGAAACAUUGAAAAAGCUCAUAGAUCAUCAGGGAUAUAUUAUAAGAUCGUUACCGGGAUAAGAGCGGUUCAACGGUUCAACGCUGGUAAUCCCGGCCAGUCACGGUGGGCGGUGCUUGGUUGCCAUGGCGAUGACGUCAAUGUUGGUGUCGAGUAACCAAAGGUCAAAAUAAAGACAAGUGAAUGAGAUCGGAAGGAAACUUGACAGGGCGGUCAAAACAACGAAAAAGACAUCCAAAACAGCGAAUAUACUUACUCACAAGGAUGUAACUUUGAUCUCCAGGGACAAGUGUUUGCAAUCGGUGGUAAGAAAACGUCGGACAACAGAAGGGUAUGUGUAUAUAGGCAGCCUAGCAGAGGCUAAUUCCGGGAGCUAAGCUAGCCGAGGCUAACGCUGUAAACACAGUUUAUCAAAUCACUAUGUUUGCUCUGACCGUUUUGGAACAGUGGCUAAAGUAACUGUGUCGCUCCAUCCAUGGCUACCGUGGCGGUCUUGCCCAAUAUCAAACGCCGGUAACUUGGAGGCUGUGUUUGCCCCCUGAUGUUAGCAUGUUGUUCACACAUAGCUGGCCUUGGAGCCAGCUGCAGCCUCCUCAGCUUGGGAACUUCACUCACCUUGCAGCAAACUAAAGCUGCUUAGAUCAUUUGGCGGGAUAUUUCACUUUAUUUUACGUACACUUCUAACAAAGCUAGCCAAUGUAGGUUUGUUGAUCGAUUUAACCAUUGUGGGAAAAAAGUUCCCUGGUUUUUACAUAAUUCUCUUCAUACGGUUUACACUUAACCUUAACAUUGCCUGCUUGGACGAUUAUGAGUUUGCUGAUGAGGAACCGUUGUUUUGUUCUGACCUGUUUUGUUUUACAUUGAUUUAGUUUAGUGUUUUACUGGAGCUCUAUUGAGCUGCUUUACUCUCGGAGCUCUAUUGAGCUGCAACCAUCAACAGUAUAAUGCCUGGUGGGGGAAAGAAUAUCUCGCAAAGUCAACUCUGUUACUCGCAUGACUGUCAAAGUCAAACAUUGUGUGGGGUCAAGCCAAGGGAUGUCACUGUCUUUGUUUUACACCUCGUAAACCAACGGACAGCGCUCGGACUGGCCGUUCUUCCAGAUAGUUUGGAGCUGUAAACAUCCCCGACUGGAAGCUGUCACUCAGUAAAGCUUUCAGUCUGAUGUUUGCACCCGCCAACUGUCUUCAGCACCGUCACGGUACAUGUGAUAUGUCGUUCAUGUAGGAGUCCCAGUGUGGUUCUCUGUGCAUUGUGUAAUAACCUCUGGCAAGGUCAUGUGACCGAAGGCUCUACCAAGUGCUACAUGGAUGCUGGAUCUGCAGGACUGGCCACCAGCAGGACCCGGGGGUUCAGACCUCAGUUUAUGUAAACAUCCUACACUCAGCUGUAGCCACGUUGACCACAGGCUGAGAGAAGGCUGUUUACUUUAACUGUCUGAAGCGUGCACCCCAUGAAAAUUAACCAAUGCACUUCUAAAGGACAAAUUUCAUUCACCAGAGGAUUUCUACCACUUUUUGUUCAAAAGUAUUUGAUAAAAGCCAGUUUAUUUUUUUAAGGAAGAAUCUGCAAUGUGCCCUUUAAGGUUGGACAUGAUUUUCUUUUGUGGUUUCCUAUUAUUAUCAUCAGACAUGAUUCUAUUCAGACCGUUUAUGUCUAGCCUAUCAGAACUAAUAUUGUGUUUUUGGUAUUUUUGAAUAAAUUCCUUAACAUCCCACACCUUUGCUUUCGUUAUUAUCGGUUCAUGCAAUAGUCUAUAUUAGAAGCCUAUUUUUACAGUCAUAUGUAUGCAUCUGUACAUCGUAACCUAGUUACAUACAACAUGAAAAAGGUUGAAUAAUGAACGAAUAUGCAGGCUACAAUAACUUUGAAACAGUAUAUACAAAUAUUCGUAAUUUUUAGAACAACCGUUUUAAGUAAUUGAUCUGCAAUGCACAAUUGUGUCACUAGAUGGGAGUCUUGCUCUUCAGGUAACAGUUGACCAAAGCCACUCACAUUGAGGUUGACAUUUAGCCUUUAUUGAGUCAUGGGAAGUCGAGGGAAUUACAAGAGAGGAUAAUGAAGCCCAUCCAAAAGUAGCAAAACAAAUAUUUAGAUUAGAGAUUGAGAAAGGCUGUGCCACAAAUGUUAAAUAUCACAUGUGUGAUAUUUGUGGUGUAACUCAGGGUUAGCUCUGUGCCUAUUGGAGAAAACAUUUGUUUUUAACUAGGCCUAUCUUUAGUGACAACCACUGACAUGUGCAAGCUGAAGUUAUAUAUAAAGUGCAUAAAUUAAGAAGUUAUCACUUGCCUACAUUGGUUAGGAUAGACUCUAGUCUAGAGCAACCAAUCAGAGGCAGAGUAGGGUGGCCCUUUUUCUAUUUAAAUGUUUAUUACAAAUUGCAUGACCAAAUCACAUAAAUUGCAAAUGCAUUCAUUAAGAUUUAAUUCCAAAUAUCUUUGACACUUGCCAAAUGCACUUUUAUUUGAAUAAAGAGGCCAAGAAACAUCCAUAGAUGGACAGGGCCGCCAGGCACUUACCGGCCAUUUGCAUGUCAGAGGGAAAACAGGCAUAGCCUUAAAGUGAGAAUUGCUUUAGCAUAGGCUGCUGAAUUUAUAGGCUUUCUUUAAAAAAAAGAUAAAUAAAAUGAAUAAAAGAUACAAUUAGCUCAUUAGAACUUCUAUCAAAAUAAUUAUUAUUUAAUUAUAGGCUACACAUUCUGAGCUAUACAGUUCAAGUUCAAUACUUUAUGUCAACAUUGCCCUAGCUACACACGCCACCCUCUCCCACCUGGAAA